AUGCAGUCGAACGGUAACAGGCCGCAAGGUGCUGACGAGUGGCGAACGGGUGAGUAACACAUCGGAACGUGCCUGAUAGUGGGGGAUAACUACUCGAAAGAGUGGCUAAUACCGCAUAAGAUCUCAGGAUGAAAGCAGGGGACCGCAAGGCCUUGCGCUAACAGAGCGGCCGAUGGCAGAUUAGGUAGUUGGUGGGAUAAAAGCUUACCAAGCCGACGAUCUGUAGCUGGUCUGAGAGGACGACCAGCCACACUGGGACUGAGACACGGCCCAGACUCCUACGGGAGGCAGCAGUGGGGAAUUUUGGACAAUGGGCGCAAGCCUGAUCCAGCAAUGCCGCGUGCAGGAUGAAGGCCUUCGGGUUGUAAACUGCUUUUGUACGGAACGAAAAGCUUCUCUCUAAUACAGGGGGGCCAUGACGGUACCGUAAGAAUAAGCACCGGCUAACUACGUGCCAGCAGCCCCCCGGUAAA
rnacentral:rRNA from 1 species